AUCCACAAAGACCUGAAGAGAAUCUUUAAUAUUGAUGCCAGAGAAACUCAUCUUAGUUGAUGAAGCAAGAUUUAAUCUUACCAAAAUGCGGAGAAGGGGAGGAACAUAAUUGGGCCAUUGUGAAUGUCCCUGGCCAGCGAGGAGGGAAUGUGACCAUAUGUGCCACCAUCAGCCACCAAUGGACCCUCCACCCCCCAUGCCACCCUUGGUCCAUACAACACCAUCCAUCAGCUGGCUUUUCUCGAUGGUCUGCGAGAUCAUGUAUACCAACUAGACCAGAGGGAGGGAGCCAGCACAACCAGACCAGCCAUGCUACAUUGUCAUUUGGGACAAUGUCAGUUUCCACCAGAUAAGCUGACGAAGAGGACUGAGUAAUCCCGGACUCUCGGCGAGAGCCACUUUCAGAUGCCCCAUCGAUUACUUCAAUUAGCUCGUUUAAAAUGAAGAGAUGAAGCCUUAUUAUCCGGGAGAGAAAAUGCGUGCCAUUACAAAGAAUAUUAUAAUCAAGCUCGUCUUGCCUGACCCUCAU